UGAGGUUUCACCUUCCUCUCAAACAUGGCAUCAAGGACCUGAGAUAGCUGCUCCUAGAAAACAAGCAGGAGUGGGGGGAAAAAUCAACUAUCAGAAAACAGACCUCAGUGUUACUGCUGGACAAGGGAAAUCCAACUUUACAUGCACAGACACCUUUUCUCCCAAGAUGCGUAAGUACAGGCAACAUAAUAAGCCCUUUAGAAUUAUGACAAUUGGCUGACAACUAUUUCUAUAAGUGCAUUUGCUUUAUGUAUUCUGAAUAAUGCAGUUUUCACAUAUUCUUAUUACAUUCAUACAGAUUAAUAAAGAUCUGAUUUAAGUGGUUCUUUAAAAGGCUUUAUCAUCAUAUGUACAGUAAAACAACUGAGACAAUGCCUUACAGCAGAAUAGCCAUUAAAUUAUUUUUUUUUCUUCUACUACAGCAAGAUUUGGCAAAGUAUUUAAAAUUACAUUUCCCUAGGGGCAAACGAGAACUUUCAUGAUGAAAGAGCUAGAAUAAUAAACGGAAAGUAAAUAAUCACAGUCUCUUUUAGAUUCAUAUCUUUACACACACAUAAUGAAAGCAUUACAAGCAGACAAUACUGCUUCAACUAGAUUUUAAAGACAAGCACUUUUAACAAGAUACAAUGUGUUCCUACUUAAUUAUGAUUCCUAGGUAGGCUUUGUUCAGGGCUGGUUUUUUGUUUUGUUUUACUCCUUCUGCAGCCUGCAAGAUCUGGCCUGGACACAACCCCCAGCUCAAGUGACUCAGGGACAGAGCACCACACAAACCACAGACCAAAGGCUUCACAGCACCCUCUGCUCCAGGCAUCUGGCUGGAAAAGACUUUCCUGUCAUACCAGGAGGCAACUUGCUGGGGGUCUUACUGAACUGCAACAAAACUUCAGAAGACAAUCCUCAACUGGUAUAUCUUUAUUUAAAUCCUCCUCCUACUCAGGAGCAAUUAAAAUGAAAAACUUGUGCCAAUGUAGGACUAGAGACAGAAUUCUCCUAAGCACUUCUCCUAACUCUCUGGCAUAACCAAAUGAACAUGACAUUUGCCUUUUUUUUUUCCAACUAAACCAACAGCUGUUUGUCAUUGUAUUUGCUUCAUAUAGUUGUCUAUUUAAUUAUAUCAAGGCACAACUUUUAUUUAAUGCCCUUAUGUAUGAGUUAUGCCAAAUGUUUUAUUAUGCCAAAUGUUUUAUCUUCCACUCUGCACACUCACACACUGGAGAGUUACACUCUCUCACCUCACUGAAGCCACAUGCUGCAGGAGAAUAAUGACAAACUCAUGAGGCUAUAAUUUUUGAUAAUUUUAAAAUUUACAGUUUCCAGAGGACCUAUGAUGAAAGCACUCUGGUGAUAAAAUAAACCCUCUGCAAGUCUCUCCUGUACAGCUGGAGGAGCCAAGGGACAACACUGCCUGAUUUUACAGAACCAUUUCCAAACUAAGCCACUCCUGGGACUCCUGCACUUUGGGCUUCCAUGUCUCAGCUCACAAGGAGAGAGCCCAGCAUCCCAUCAGACACUGGUGUGCUCUGGGACUUGCAGUAAGAGGCAAGUCUGCAUGAAAAUUAAAACAACAAAAAUACUUCCAUCAUGGUAGAGGACUAACAAAAAUAAGAAAGUUUUGCAUGUGGCUGCUCAUUGGAGUAAACAGCUCUGACACUGACAGUAACUACCAAAAGCAAAAUACUGCCCUUUCAAUCUUAAAACAGUAAUUUACAAUUUGCUACUUCUGUUUCCAAUUCCCUUUACUACAUUUAAGUAGAAAUGUAAAAUGGAAGAAGGGUAUUUUGGAGUUACACAUUAUUCCAUGUGGUGAAGCCUGGGAAAUUCAAAGGAGCAAGGUUUAUUCUUGCAAGUCAAGAAAUGAGAAGAGUGAAAUGGAUAAACAUGCUGCUGACCUUGUUCAAGCCUUCUAAGAGAGCCUUACUGAUGAGAUAGUCAGCCAUAAAAAAGGUCUCCUGGAAAACAUGAUGCUACUACUAUUUCAGAGCACACAGAUUCACAAUUGUAGAAGAAAGCCUUCUGCUUUAAUGAUUCUGGUUUAGCCCAUCACAUAAAUCUUAACACAUUUCCAAAUGUGCUACGUAAGCAAGGCAGACAGAACCAGAAAUUCAGCACCAAUAAUGCUUAUGUGCCUGAAACAGUGAUAUUUGGAGUUAAAAACAGCACAAAGAAUGUUCACUUUCCAUUCAGUUUACAUCAGAACACCACAAGUUCCGAGAAAUGGCUCAAAUACCUUCCCCCCAAAAGAAGGCAUGUAGCUUACAGGCUUUUAGCUGCAAGCUGUAGCUAGAGAAGAGAAUUUAGCUGAGGAAUAAAACAGGAAAAGUGGCUUUCUAGUAUAGAAAUAAGAAAUUUUCUUUCAGUUUACAGAUCAAGGCUUUUUUUGUGUUUUAUACGUGUAAUUCUGCCAUAUGAACUGCUAAACCUGCAAUAAGGCAAAUAAUAUUUUUAAAUCAUCUUGAGAAAAGUGCAGUAAAGCACUUUUUGCCUUAAAAUUUCAUCUAGCAACGAAGAUUACUGACAUCUUUCUGACAUCUGUCAUGACAGAGAACCAAAGCAUGCCAAAGUGUUAAAAGGCACUUCUGAAAUCAAUUAUAUGAUAUGAUUUUCACAGAUUUCUACAGAAUGUCCAAAUACAUUAAGAACCACACUACCCUGAAUAGAACAACUAACACCUAUCUACCUGUAGCAACCAGGAGCAAUAAAAAAUUAGCAUGGCUUGACACAAAAGGAUUGUGUGCAGAGGAAUGACGUGGAAGCCCCCAAGUCCCUGUGCUUGGAAACUGCUGCUUCCUUUCCUGGCACACUGGAAAAGCAGGAAAUGUGGGAAGUCACUGUUGGACCCCUUGAAGACAAGCCUGGCAGCUCCCCCCAUUCCUGUGUGGCUGCAGAGCAAUUCCAAAGCCCUGGUGAGCACCAGCCAUGGCAAAGGUGUGACUCCUUCACUCCUUCACUGCCAGGAUCAGCCAGCUCUGGCCUUCAGCAUCUCCCUGAAUAAAUGAAUUGUCUCAGCAGGAAAUACACACUUGAAGUGGUCAAACAAAAGACUAAUACUGGAUAGAAAUUAA